CCGAGCCUCAGCACUCGGAGCUUCCUGUGGAAAUAAGCUAGGGAGAACUGUCUUGGUGAACAGACCCACAGCACAAUAGUUGUCUUCUGGUCACUGCUAAGGAUAUGGAUCUAAUUAGGAUGUAGUCUUAAUUAGGAUGCAUUGGAAAAGUUGACCAUAUGGUGAUAGAAGAUGAAUAAAUUGUGACAAAAAAACUUCUCGCCUAGUAUAGGAAAAAAAACUACACUUUUUUUUUUUUUUUUAAACAAUCUUCAGGGAUUCCUGGCUGCCAAAGACCUUUUUGAUUAGAAACCUAAGAAAGUACCAUAUUUUAAAGCUGAGGACACACAGUACUUGGGAACAGUGUGGCCUAUGCUUGACCUGGAAUAGAUGUUCUCUGUAACAAAGCAAAGCUGAUGAAAUUGUAGAAACCUUUGUUUUUGUUUUGUUUCUAAGAGAUGCUGUAACUGGCUGCACUUAAUAAAUACGUGACUUGGAAUCGCUCCAGGGGGAAUCAUGACAGACCUGCCCCCGCCCUCCCCACACACAUUUCAGGAUCUGAGACCUGGCAGAAGAUCAGCUACAGGAAGAGAUGCCUGAAUGAUUUCCUGACUUCAUAGAAGACUGCAUGACGUGGAUGACUUCUUUCUGUGGACACGUUUAGAAGGCAAAACGUUUUAUCAGAGNNNNNUUUUUUUUUUUUUUUUUUUUUUUUUUUUUUUUUUUUUUUUUUUACUACAUGAGUGAGCUUUCAAGAUGAAGAUGUAAAAAGUCAUGCAAGCUGCUGGGCUCCAGUCAAGUACAUUGUCCCUCCUGACCAUGACUGCUCUGAAGGCAGGGUAGCUGUCUGAUGUGUCCUGCUGGCACCUGAGUACUUCAGGUGUCGUGGUUUAACCCGGCCGGCAGCUAAACACCACGCAGCCGUUUGCUCACCCUCCCCCCUCCCUUUCUGGGACGGGGGAGAGAAAUGGAAAGUGAAGCCUGCUGGAAGGAUUAUCCUGUUGCAUUGUAAACAACCACUAAACCUUCUAAAGAGAUUUCUCAUCUGCACUGUUUUGCUGAAAAGUCUUGCACAAGACAUGCAAGUUCAUGCCUUCCUUGCAUACCUGCCUAAGUUACUGAAUAUUAGAUGUCUUCCAUGUUCAAGGCCACACUGA
rnacentral:lncRNA from 1 species